ACUUGGCUGGCUCAGUCAGUAGAGCAUGUGACUCUGGAUCUCAGGGUCAUGAGUUGGAGCCCCAUGUUGGGCA
rfam:Canis lupus familiaris chromosome 6, whole genome shotgun sequence.